rnacentral:rRNA from 1 species
GACACGACCGUACCGCAAACCGACACUGGUGCGCGAGAUGAGUAUUCUAAGGCGCUUGAGAGAACUCAGGAGAAGGAACUCGGCAAAUUGACACCGUAACUUCGGAAGGAGGUGUGCCUUUAGUAGGUGAACCUGUACAAGGGGAGCCCAAUGAGGUUGCAAAAAAUCGGUGGCUGCGACUGUUUAAUAAAAACACAGCACUCUGCAAACACGAAAGUGGACGUAUAGGGUGUGACGCCUGCCCGGUGCUGGAAGAUUAAAUGAUGGGGUGCAAGCUCUUGAUUGAAGUCCCAGUAAACGGCGGCCGUAACGAUAACGGUCCUAAGGUAGCGAAAUUCCUUGUCGGGUAAGUUCCGACCUGCACGAAUGGCGUAACGAUGGCCACACUGUCUCCUCCUGAGACUCAGCGAAGUUGAAAUGUUUGUGAUGAUGCAAUCUCCCCGCGGAAAGACGGAAAGACCCCAUGAACCUUUACUGUAGCUUUGUAUUGGACUUUGAACAGAUCUGUGUAGGAUAGGUGGGAGGCUUUGAAGUGUGGUCGCUAGAUCGCAUGGAGCCAACGUUGAAAUACCACCCUGGUGUGUUUGAGGUUCUAACCUAGGCCCGUAAUCCGGGUCGGGGACAGUGCAUGGUAGGCAGUUUGACUGGGGCGGUCUCCUCCCAAAGCGUAACGGAGGAGUUCGAAGGUACGCUAGGUACGGUCGGACAUCGUGCUAAUAGUGCAAUGGCAUAAGCGUGCUUAACUGCGAGACUGACAAGUCGAGCAGAUGCGAAAGCAGGACAUAGUGAUCCGGUGGUUCUGUAUGGAAGGGCCAUCGCUCAACGGAUAAAAGGUACUCUGGGGAUAACAGGCUGAUACCGCCCAAGAGUUCAUAUCGACGGCGGUGUUUGGCACCUCGAUGUCGGCUCAUCUCAUCCUGGGGCUGUAGCCGGUCCCAAGGGUAUGGCUGUUCGCCAUUUAAAGAGGUACGUGAGCUGGGUUUAAAACGUCGUGAGACAGUUUGGUCCCUAUCUUCCGUGGGCGCUGCAGAUUUGAGGAAGCCUGCUCCUAGUACGAGAGGGCCGGAGUGGACACACCUCUGGUGUAUCGGUUGUCACGCCAGUGGCAUUGCCGAGUAGCUAUGUGUGGAAGAGAUAACCGCUGAAAGCAUCUAAGCGGGAAACUCGUUUCAAGAUGAGAUCUGCCGGGGCCUUGAGCCCCCUAAAGAGUCGUUCAAGACCAGGACGUUGAUAGGUCGGGUGUGGAAGCGCAGUAAUGCGUUAAGCUAACCGAUACUAAUUGCUCGUGCGGCUUGAUCAA